UGAGAGAUCUGAACCUGAGUGAGAAUAAACUAGGAGACUCAGGAGUGAAGAACCUCAGUGAUCUACUGAUGAACCCACAGUGCAAACUGGAGAGAUUGAGCCUACAGGGCUGUGGCAUUACAGAUGUUUCUGCUUUAACUCAGUCUUUGACGAACUCAAAUGCACUGCAGUUUUUAAAAGAGCUUGAUCUGAGCGACAAUAAGAUCAGAUACUCAAAGCAGCUCAGAGACGUGUUACGAGACUCAAACUGUACAGGUGAAAUGGAUUGAGAAGAUCUUAGUCGGAGCUGAGAUGAAGCAAGAAUAAAGAAGUCUUUAGUAUAAGCGCUCAAUCAUGAUGAUAUUGGAAUUUAACUCAUCUAUAUUGAAACAAUCAAAAUAUUACUAAUCAUAACUGUCAUUGCCAAAUUUGCCACUCCAACGUUUCAAGUGAUAUGACAUUGUUGUGUGCUACACGAUUUCUUUAUGCAUCUAAUAUGACUAUUAUGAGUCCCUAAACAAAUAUUUAGUCUGUUUACACUUUAUGACUGUGAUAUUAAUCUAAUUUUAUUUUUGAUUUUGGCUUCCAAUGAUUAUAAAAAGAAGAUAUUUGAGGUCAAACUUUAACUAUCCACGUUUCAUCUAGAGCAGCUUCCUUUCCUUCACAGCAGAGAGCUUUCCUUCCUUCCUAAAACACAAACUUCACGUCAGAAUCAGCUCAAUCUGUGAUAGUUGAAACUAAUACCGGCGAGAGAUGCUGUUUUCAACUUCAAGGUGGCUCUUGUGUGUGUGUGUGUGUGUGUGUGUGUGUGUGUGUGCCUCCCGAAAUGGCUCGCAAAAGACAAGCAAAUUAUACAUUAAGCUUUGUGUAAGUCUAAACCAUCAAAUAGAUGAUGUUAGUGUAUAUUAUUAGUAUGUCAUUAUUUUUAAAAACUUACAUUUAGAUCUUGUAUAGCUGAUUCAUUUAAGAACAAAAAAUCUUGUUUUGUUAAUAAAAAAGAUUGUAUUGCACCUGUG